rnacentral:rRNA from 1 species
UGGCUCAGGAUGAACGCUAGCGGCAGGCUUAACACAUGCAAGUCGAGGGGCAGCGGGGAGGAAGCUUGCUUUCUCCGCCGGCGACCGGCGCACGGGUGAGUAACACGUAUGCAACCUGCCCCUGUCAGGGGGACAACCCGCCGAAAGGCGGGCUAAACCCGCGUACAUGCCACCGGGGCAUCCCGGAGGCAGGAAAGGCUUCGGCCGGACAGGGAUGGGCAUGCGGCGCAUUAGGCAGUAGGCGGGGUAACGGCCCACCUAACCGACGAUGCGUAGGGGUUCUGAGAGGAAGGUCCCCCACACUGGUACUGAGACACGGACCAGACUCCUACGGGAGGCAGCAGUGAGGAAUAUUGGUCAAUGGUCGGGAGACUGAACCAGCCAAGCCGCGUGAGGGAUGAAGGUACAGAGUAUCGUAAACCUCUUUUGUCAGGGAACAAAGGCGGGGACGUGUCCCCGGAUGAGUGUACCUGAAGAAAAAGCAUCGGCUAACUCCGUGCCAGCAGCCGCGGUAAUACGGAGGAUGCGAGCGUUAUCCGGAUUUAUUGGGCUUAAAGGGUGCGCAGGCGGUCUGUUAAGUCAGCGGUCAAAGCCCGGGGCUCAACCCCGGCCCGCCGUUGAAACUGGCAGUCUCGAGUUGGAGAGAAGUAUGCGGAAUGCGCGGUGUAGCGGUGAAAUGCAUAGAUAUCGCGCAGAACUCCGAUUGCGAAGGCAGCAUGCCGGCUCCACACUGACGCUGAGGCACGAAAGCGUGGGUAUCGAACAGGAUUAGAUACCCUGGUAGUCCACGCAGUAAACGAUGAAUGCUGGCUGUCCGGGGGGGAUUGACCCCUGGGUGGCGAAGCGAAAGCGAUAAGCAUUCCACCUGGGGAGUACGCCGGCAACGGUGAAACUCAAAGGAAUUGACGGGGGCCCGCACAAGCGGAGGAACAUGUGGUUUAAUUCGAUGAUACGCGAGGAACCUUACCCGGGCUCAAACGGGGAGUGACUCAGGCAGAGACGCCUGUUUCCCACGGGACACUCCCCGAGGUGCUGCAUGGUUGUCGUCAGCUCGUGCCGUGAGGUGUCGGCUUAAGUGCCAUAACGAGCGCAACCCCCGCGUGCAGUUGCUAACAGAUAACGCUGAGGACUCUGCACGGACUGCCGGCGCAAGCCGCGAGGAAGGCGGGGAUGACGUCAAAUCAGCACGGCCCUUACGUCCGGGGCGACACACGUGUUACAAUGGGUGGUACAGCGGGAAGCCAGGCGGCGACGCCGAGCGGAACCCGAAAUCCACUCUCAGUUCGGAUCGGAGUCUGCAACCCGACUCCGUGAAGCUGGAUUCGCUAGUAAUCGCGCAUCAGCCAUGGCGCGGUGAAUACGUUCCCGGGCCUUGUACACACCGCCCGUCAAGCCAUGGGAGCCGAGGGCGCUUGAAGUGCGUCGCCGCGAGGCGCGCCCUAGAGCGAAAUCGGUGACUGGGGCUAAGUCGUAACAAGGU